UCGGCGGCCACAGCGCCAAGCGAGCGAGCCGGCCCGUGCUCCUGGGGCGCCUGCGCUCGCUAGAGCGGUUUGAAAAUCAGUGAACAGAAAACUGUCACUCUCCACGGCCAGCUUGUUCGUGGUGUACACUUGUCUGAACAUCCAAAGGACUAAUGAUAAAUAAUUUUACAUGUAUCUAUUAGACUUCUGGAUAUCCUCCUUGGUUCUAUUACAUGUGAUUUGUAGUUUUAUGGGAUUGCUGCCAGAAAGAGAACAUGGAAUGAUUUAAAUCUUUAGUUUUCAACAUUGACUUCUGUCCCAACAUACAGUCUCUCCGUAUCUUCUGCAGUUUCAUUGGAUUGAGACUUAUCUCCAGUCAGAAGCACGAGAGGGUGAGUGAAUUCACCAGAGCCAGAGCGGGGAGCAGAGCAGGCAGAAGAACCGAAGUACACUGCUGAGGGGAGCAGCGGGCGGCAGGAGAGGUCUGCGUGCCAUGCGGGACCCUCCUCCCGUGGCCGGGGAGCAGCCGGGGAUCGAACCGGCGCUGCAGAGGCCGCGGGCAGCUUCACAACCCAGCGCUCAACCGCUGCGCCACCGGGGAGGCCCUGUAGCUGUUCUUUUUUCCUGUCCUUGUAAAAAUGGUAAUACUGGUUUUAUAGAAUGAGUUGGAUAACAUUUCCUUUUUAUUUCCUAGUGAUCACAUAAAUCUUGCAAAAAGAUUCUUUACAUAUUUGGUUUAACUUUCCAUUAAAUAUGUGUUCGAAGAUUUCUUUUUCAGAUUUUAAGUUAUGAAUGCAAUUUACUGCAUUGGUGUUGGGAUACUCAUUUUAGCUUCCGUGUUUAGUGAUUUAUGGUAAUUUGUGGUUUUUGGGAAACUGACUCAUUUUAAUAAGUGUAUAAAUUCAGCAUGUCAAAUUAGUUUCCCAUCAUAGUCCCUUUAAAGUCUUCAUGGUUUAUCAUUUUAUCUUGCUUCAUUAGUAUUAUUGAUCUUUGGCUUCAUUUUUUGUCCAUAUUGAUAGAGGUAUGCAAGUACACUUACCUUUUUUUUUUAAAGAUUUAUUUAUGCAUACAAGAACUGGGGUAUAGGCCAGAGGUGCUCUUUUGUCUCCAAUUGUUUGGAAAUUUCCCCAUUAACUUUCAGUUAUCUGUUUUUACUUUGAUACCAUUCUGGUCACUUAUGAUCAAAACUCCAAAAGACAUGUUGACAUUAGCUGUGUAGAUUGAAGUAUAUAUUCUACAUGGCUUAUAAGUAAUUAAAAAGAGCAUCUACUGUAUUGUUCUUGGGUGGACACUUGCAUAUAUACCAACUAAGUAUGGGUAAUUCGUAGUGUUGUUUUUAUGAUUUGGGUUUUUUUUAGUUUGAAGUUUUGAUGAGGUUUGUAUCCUACUUUUUUUCAUUUAAUUCCAUCAACUACUGAGAGUAUUGUUACUUUUUUUUUUUUUUAAGAUUUCUUUAUUUAUGCAUACAAGAGCUGGGGUGCAGGCCAGAGAUGCUGUGGGUGAGAGGAUUCACCAGAGACAGAGGGGAGAGCAGAACAGGCAGAUGUAUUGAAAUACACUGCUGAGGAGGCAGCAGGCGAGGCAGGAGAGGUCUGCUGCGCCAUGUGGGUCACCUCCCUGGCCGGGGAUCAAACUUGUGCUGCAGUGGCUGCGGAUAGCUUCAUAGUGCUGUGUCUUAACCCCUUGCACCACCAGGGAGGCCCCGAGAGUAUUGUUACUUAGCAAAUCUAUUUGAUUUCAUGAUUUCUAUUGCAUUAUGUAUUUUGAAGGUUUGCUGAUAGAUCAAUAAAAUUUAUGUUGGUUAUAUAUUCUUAGUUGAUUAUUGUAUUAUGCUUUGUAUCUGCUCUGGGUAACUUUCUUUGCUGUGAAAUCCACUUUGUGGGAAUCAUUGGUUUCUGUUAAUGUCCACAUGGUUAUUUUCAUUUUUCUACUUCCAUACUACAUGCAUCAUCAUAUUUGAAGUAACCUGCUGAUAUACAGCAUAUGAUCAUGUUAUCUCUGCCAUUAUUUAUGUUGGUAUAUAUAGAACAUUUGUAUACAUUUUUGUAUGAUUAAAAUACUAUACAUA